CCGAUUCCGACCUCCACCGGCAUCUCAACACUUUCCAUAAAGGUUGCCGGUGCAUGCCCGGAAACGAGCUCCGCGUGCCCCAUUCAUGGCGAUCCGAUUCUUCCCCAGCCUCUAAACUAGAAAGAUACCUGUAAACCCUAUUUCCGAACCCCAAUCGACAAUCCUAUCCCUCGAAAAUCGCUUUUGUGUUGUCUCGUCUCGUCUCUUCUCUCAUGGGAUACCAACCUCACUUCCACCAUCUCCACCACCACCACAACGGCGGCAACAACAAUCACGGCGAUGGCGCCUCCCACAACCACCAUCACCAAGUCGUCAACAGCCCCCGCUACACCGGAUCCAUGACUCGGCGGACUCACUCCUUCAAGCGCACCACCGGAAGCGGCGAGAUCGAAUUCCAGAUCAACUCCCCAAGGACGGCGUCCGCCGAAAACCCCGGGAGUCCCUUGGGGGAGGCAUCGGAGUCUCCGGUUGCGUCGGCCGCGGCGGCGGCGGGAGAGAAAUUGCAUGGCGGUGGGGCCGCCGUUCACCACCAGAACCUGCGGUUCCGGCUCGGUGUACCCAUUCUGGGAAAGAAGCAGCUGGGCGCAACGGAGACGGGCUUGCGCGUCAGGAAGAAGGUCGCGAAUUUCUUGUUCUUUGCUUUUUGUAGUCUUUGCAUGGUGCUUGGGGCCGUGAAGAUCUUCGCAGGCGGGUGGUUUUGGCUGCAAACAGCUGAGAAAGAAAGGAAUUAUCAGGAUCUCUCUGGCACUCAAUCUGCUAGUUCAGAAGUUCAGAUAACUAAUACCCACAGGUAUAGGGAUGCAAGUGAUAGUGAGCGAACACUGAUGACUAUCACAUCAAGCAGCGGUUCCAGUGAAAAUAGUGCAGUGUACUCAGGUAUAUGGGCCAAGCCAAACAGUGAAAACUUCAGCCAGUGUAUUGACCAUACAAAAAAGAAGAAGAUGGAUGCGAAAAUAAAUGGCUACAUUCUAAUAAAUGCAAAUGGAGGUUUGAAUCAGAUGAGAUUUGGGAUCUGUGAUAUGGUUGCUGUUGCAAAGAUUGUGAAGGCGGCACUUGUUCUUCCUUCGCUUGACCAUAACUCCUACUGGGCAGAUGAUAGUGGUUUCAAGGAUCUUUUUGAUUGGAAGCAUUUCAUUGAGACCCUCAAGGAUGAAGUGCAUAUAGUUGAAACAUUAUCAGCUUCCUAUGCAAAGAUUGAACCGUUUAUGAAAACUCCAAUAUCUUGGUCCAAGGUCAAUUACUAUAAAUCAGAGAUUCUCCCACUUCUGAAACGACACAAAGUUAUAUAUUUCACUCAUACAGAUUCUCGACUUGCAAAUAAUGGACUUCCAAGCUCUAUCCAAAAAUUGAGAUGUCGUGUCAACUACAGAGCACUCAAAUAUUCAUCCACAAUUGAGGAACUUGGAGCCACCUUAAUUUCGAGAAUGCGCAAAGGUGGAAGUCCAUAUCUUGCUCUCCAUUUAAGAUAUGAAAAGGACAUGUUGGCAUUUACUGGUUGCAGUCACAAUUUGACUCUUCAAGAAGGGGAUGAACUUCGACAAAUGCGUUAUGGAGUAAGCCAUUGGAAAGAGAAGGAGAUCAAUGGAACUGAGAAACGGAAGCUGGGUGGCUGCCCUUUGACGCCAAGGGAGACUGCCCUAUUCCUUAAAGCAUUAGGAUUCCCAUCAAACACAAGAAUAUAUUUGGUUGCUGGUGAAGCUUAUGGAAAUGGCAGUAUGCAGUAUUUGAUAGAUGACUUCCCAAAUAUUUUCUCCCAUGCAACAUUAUCGUCAGAAGAAGAACUUACGCCAUUAAGGAAUCACCAAAACAUGCUCGCUGGAUUGGACUAUGUUGUUGCUCUUGAGAGUGAUGUUUUCCUUUACACCUAUGAUGGAAACAUGGCUAAGGCUGUUCAGGGUCACAGGCGUUUUGAGAACUUCAGAAAAACCAUCAGCCCAGACAGGUUGAACUUUAUACAACUUGUCGACGAGUUUGAUGAAGGGAAUAUUUCUUGGAAAAAAUUCAGUUCAAAGGUGAAAAAACUACAUGAGUACCAAACUGGAGGUCCAUAUAUGAGGGAGCCCGGGGAAAUUCCAAAGUUGGAAGAGUGCUUCUACGCUAACCCUCUACCAGGCUGCAUAUGCGAAAAGCACCAGAGGGGUGAACAAGACCUGGGAUUCCAGGCACAUCUGUAAGGCCGAGGAGAUCCUGCUUCCUAAGAUCAGAUCAAGCGUAGGGGAAUCGUCUUAAAGCAGUUGCAGUUGCUGAGCUCUUGUUUCCGAAGAAAGCCAAGCUCAUUCUGUUGACGACGGAACAGCAAUGCAUCAUCAAAUGAAUUUCUAUAUCGAAGUUACAACCCUGAAUAAAAGGAAGAAUUACAGAAGAGUUAUAAUUAGAAGGUAUAAUGAAGGUUGUGCUCACUGAAGAGACAUGCCAAUGCUCUCCUUUUUCAUUCAGUUAUGGUACAUUUAUUCUCUCCAUCGACAAGUUACUCGUUUUGUUGCCUAUAUUUCUUUAAUUAAGGAAGAACAACAAUAAUACCCUUUCAGGAAGAAAAAGAAAUGGGUGAUUCCCCUGAAAAAUCCCUAUUUAUUUUUCACCUGCAUGGUAUUAUUCCUCAGUUCACUCUGUUUAAUAUAUAAUAACAAAGUUUUAUUUUUCUUA